GCCCCGAUAGCCCAACUGGCAGAGGCGGUCGGCUCAAACCCGGCUUGUUGUGGGUUCGAAUCCCACUCGGGGUACCG
rnacentral:tRNA from 20 species